rnacentral:rRNA from 1 species
UACGGGGGGGGCAAGCGUUGUUCGGAAUUACUGGGCGUAAAGGGCUCGUAGGUGGCCAACUAAGUCAUACGUGAAAUCCCUCAGCUUAACUGGGGAACUGCGCCUGAUACUGGUUGGCUUGAGUUUGGGAGAGGGACGCGGAAUUCCAGGUGUAGCGGUGAAAUGCGUAGAUAUCUGGAGGAACACCGGUGGCGAAGGCGGCAUCCUGGACCGGCAUUGACGCUGAGGCGCGAAAGCCAGGGGAGCAAACGGG